rnacentral:snoRNA from 1 species
CUUCAAUGAUGACUUCUGUUUUGUGCCACGUGUCUGGGCCACUGAAUGUUCAUAAUAAAG